GACGAACGCUGGCGGCGUGCUUAACACAUGCAAGUCGAACGGAAAGGCCCCUUUGGGGGUACUCGAGUGGCGAACGGGUGAGUAACACGUGAGUAACCUGCCCUUGACUUCGGGAUAACUUCAGGAAACUGGGGCUAAUACCGGAUAGGAAUCCUUGCUGCAUGGUGGGGGUUGGAAAGCUUCGGCGGUUUUGGAUGGACUCGCGGCUUAUCAGCUUGUUGGUGGGGUAGUGGCUUACCAAGGCUUUGACGGGUAGCCGGCCUGAGAGGGCGACCGGCCACAUUGGGACUGAGAUACGGCCCAGACUCUUACGGGAGGCAGCAGUGGGGAAUAUUGCACAAUGGGCGGAAGCCUGAUGCAGCAACGCCGCGUGCGGGAUGACGGCCUUCGGGUUGUAAACCGCUUUCAGCAGGGGCGAAGCUUGUGGUGACGGUACCUGCAGAAGAAGCACCGGCUAACUACGUG
rnacentral:rRNA from 1 species